rnacentral:rRNA from 1 species
UACGUAGGGAGCAAGCGUUGUCCGGAAUCAUUGGGCGUAAAGCGCGCGUAGGUGGCCUCAUAAGUCCGUUGUGAAAGUCAAAGGCUCAACCUUUGAAAGCCGAUGGAUACUGUGAGACUAGAGUACGGAAGGGGCGAGUGGAAUUCCUGGUGUAGCGGUGAAAUGCGCAGAUAUCAGGAGGAACACCGGUGGCGAAGGCGGGUCUCUGGGCCGAUAUUGACGCUGAGGAGCGAAAGCGUGGGGAGCGAACAGG